UGGGAUGAAGCUCUCUUAACCAUGAGUAAAGGAGAGAAGGCUCAGCUGGAAAUUGAACCUGAGUGGGCAUACGGCAAGAAAGGGCAGCCCGAUGCCAAGAUUCCACCAAAUGCAAAACUUUUCUUUGAAGUGGAAUUGGUGGAUAUUGAAUGAAAUGAAGUUUCCUUCGCUGCUGGGAAUUUAUUUACGAUCAAGAAAGCUUCUGGCAACUGCAGUUUUGCUCUUGUAACUUCAGGAUAUAGUUACAACUGUGGCCUUGUAUUGAAAUCAAGUUGUUUUCCCUGUACAGUAACAUACCACUAAAGAAAACAUAGUUUAUACAUG